CGAACGAAUCUCGAAUGAGGACGCGAGGGAAGAGCGGUAACCGAAGAGGCGGAUGGGGAGAAGCCAUGGCCGUGAUGCGAGCGAUCUCCAUGGCGGCAGUAGCGGCACCAACGAUGAUGCUACCGCCAGCAAACUGUCACUUAGUCAGAAGGCAGCUAUGACAAAUCAUUACGAUCAACCAGAGAACAGAGUUGAACGUGAGGCUUUUAUUUCCAAAGAUCCAUCCCGAUGAUGCUCGUGGACAGCAAAUAAUAAAAAAAAAUCUCGAGGUAGAACAUCUUUUCUUUCUAAUUUUCUGAUUUUUAACUUUGUUGUGUGUUGCUUAUCUUAUGUGAAAAUUGCAUGUUUUGGUCACAGUUUAGUUAUUCAUUGGAGUUUCAGACUGUAGUUUGCAUAGUUCUAUCUGCAUAUACCUCCUACUGCAAUAUAUCCCAUUAAGGUGGUGUU